UGUAGGUGGAAACAGCGGUGGAGGAGGAGGAUGAGGUAGCCAACACUGUUUUUUUUAUAUAUAUAUAUACAUAUAUAUAUAUAUAUAUAUAUAUAUAUAUAUAUUUUUUAAAUUGAGGUAGCCCCCAAAAUAUUGUGUCAUAUAAAAAAAGACAACUCUGUUACAGAGUAGCUGUUGACAUUAUAGUUGCGCAGGCACUUUGUUGACUCUAGAGAACCUCGGGCCAAUCGCACAUCCCCGUGGCGGCGACUUUGCAUGCAGAUGUCAUCCAUAUCAACUUUCGAUGCCAAUUUCUGCGCCUACCAUGGUGACCACGGGUAACAGGGAAUCAGGGUUCCAUUCCAUACAGGGACCCUGAGAAAUGGCUACCACAUGCAAGGAAGGCAGCA